rnacentral:lncRNA from 1 species
AUGAUAUCCUGUCCAUUGUGAAGCAGGUUAUUGACUGGGGUUUCUCAGUAUUAUGUGGGUUUGGUGGAAAAUAUUAUGUCUGAAAAGUUACUUCAUCUUUUCAGUAACUAUGUACUCCAGUAGAAAGGAUGAAUAAAUAAUGGAAGGAUAAGAGGGAGGAAGAAAGGAAAGACAGGAAGAAAAGAAGGGAGGAAAGGAGAAAGAAGUGAAGGAUGGAAAGAAAGGGAAGAUGGAAUAAAAAAAAGGAAGGAGGAAGAGAGAAGAAAGAAGAAAGGAAGCUUCCUUUGCUUCUGAGUCUCUAUUUGCAGUGCCCCGAUGCUAGAAACCUGAGAUCCCAUGGCUUCUCCAGAAUGGAGGCUUGGGCAUUGUCAGCACCCUCCUUCCAAGAGUUGAAAGUUCCUCUCUUCUGAUGGAGUCUCACUCUGUUGCCCAGGCUGGAGUGCAAUGGCACAAUCUCAGCUCACCACAAGCUCCGCCUCCUGCGUUCAAGUGAUUCUCCUGCCUUAGCCUUCUGAGUAGCUGGUAUUACAGGUGCCUGCUACCAUGGCCAGCUAAGUUUUGUAUUUUUAGUAGAGACAGGGUUUCACCAUGUUGGCCAGGCUGUUCUCAAACUCCUGACCUCAAGUGAUCUGCCCGCCUAAGCCUCCCAAAGUGCUGGGAUUACAAGCAUGAGCCGCCGCACCCGGCCUCUGCUAAGUUUACAACCUGCAAAUUCUAUCCAAAAUAUAUACAUAUUUUCUUGUAUUUUUC